UUUAUGGGGAAAUAGAUAAACUAAAAAAAUUAUUUUGGGAUGAAUUUAAAAAUGUCGCCAAGCAGAACUCUACACUAGAAGAGAAACUGCGGGCACUGCAGUCCCACAGUGUGAUGGAGUCCAACCUGGGAUCACUGCGAGAUGAGGAGUCAGAGGAGUGGAUCCGGCAGGCACGGGAGCUUCAGACCCUGAGAGAGAAGACAGAAAUUCAGAAAACGGAGUGGAAAAGAAAAGUGAAGGAACUGCAUGAAGAGCACAUGGCUGAGAAGAAAGAGAUCCAGUCCUUGUCUCUCAGGAAGGUGGAAGGGAUCCACAAGGUGCCAAAGGCUGUGGACACAGAGGAGGACUCUCCGGAGGAAGAGAUGGAGGACUCCCAGGAUGAACAGCACAAGGUGCUGGCAGCUCUGAGGCGUAACCCCACUUUGCUGAAGCACUUCAGACCAAUCCUGGAGGACACCCUGGAAGAGAAGCUCGAAAGCAUGGGGAUAAGGAAGUCAAAAGCCAGCAGAGCACACUGGUCACCAGAGAGGCCCAGCCAAAGACCAGGACCCUGCAGGUGGC
rnacentral:sRNA from 1 species